UGCCAGCCGCCGCGGUAAUACGGAGGUCCCAAGCGUUGUUCGGAAUCACUGGGCGUAAAGGGUGCGUAGGCGGCGUGGCAAGUCAGAUGUGAAAUACCGGGGCUCAACCCCGGAACGGCAUCCGAUACUGCCAUGCUAGAGUAGUGGAGGGGAGUCUGGAAUUCACGGUGUAGCAGUGAAAUGCGUAGAGAUCGUGAGGAACACUAGUGGCGAAGGCGAGACUCUGGACACUUACUGACGCUGAGGCACGAAGGCCAGGGUAGCGAAAGGGAUUAGAUA
rnacentral:rRNA from 1 species